GACGAACGCUGGCGGCGUGCUUAACACAUGCAAGUCGAGCGGUAAGGCCUUUCGGGGUACACGAGCGGCGAACGGGUGAGUAACACGUGGGUGAUCUGCCCUGCACUUCGGGAUAAGCCUGGGAAACUGGGUCUAAUACCGGAUAUGACCUCCUAUCGCAUGGUGGGUGGUGGAAAGAUUUAUCGGUGCAGGAUGGGCCCGCGGCCUAUCAGCUUGUUGGUGGGGUAAUGGCCUACCAAGGCGACGACGGGUAGCCGACCUGAGAGGGUGACCGGCCACACUGGGACUGAGACACGGCCCAGACUCCUACGGGAGGCAGCAGUGGGGAAUAUUGCACAAUGGGCGAAAGCCUGAUGCAGCGACGCCGCGUGAGGGAUGACGGCCUUCGGGUUGUAAACCUCUUUCAGCGGGGACGAAGCGCAAGUGACGGUACCUGCAGAAGAAGCACCGGCUAACUACGUG
rnacentral:rRNA from 1 species